UUAACUUUCUAUGAAAUCCAUAAUCUUUAACCCAUUUAUCCAAAUACUUGAUUAAUGUCUGAUCCUGACUUUCCACAUACUUCCAAACUUUAUGAAAAGCUUUCUGGACCUGAUCAAUGUGCUUUCUUACUAUCUUUGUUAGAUUUUGCGAAUGAGUCCCACCCAUCUUUUUGAGGUUUUUG